UGAACGCUGGCGGUAUGCCUAACACAUGCAAGUCGUACGAGGGUUUUUAACUCUAGUGGCGGACGGGUGAGUAACACGUGAGAAUUUGCCUUUAGGAGGGGGAUAACAAUCGGAAACGAAUGCUAAUACCCCAUAUGCUUUCGAGUGAAAUGGAUUUAUCCGCCUAAAGAGAAGCUCGCGGCUGAUUAGCUUGUUGGUAAGGUAAGAGCUUACCAAGGCGACGAUCAGUAUCUGGUUUGAGAGGACGAUCAGCCACACUGGGACUGAGACACGGCCCAGACUCCUACGGGAGGCAGCAGUGGGGAAUAUUGGACAAUGGGCGAAAGCCUGAUCCAGCAAUGCCGCGUGAGUGAUGAAGGCCUUAGGGUUGUAAAGCUCUUUUACCAGGGAUGAUAAUGACAGUACCUGGAGAAUAAGCUCCGGCUAACUCCGUGCCAGCAGCCGCGGUAAUCUGAUGGCGCGAGGG
rnacentral:rRNA from 1 species